rnacentral:rRNA from 1 species
UACGUAGGGUGCAAGCGUUGUCCGGAAUUAUUGGGCGUAAAGAGCUCGUAGGCGGUCUGUCGCGUCGGCUGGGAAAACCUGGGGCUUAACUCCGGGCUUGCAGCCGAUACGGGCAGACUAGAGUUCGGCAGGGGAGACUGGAAUUCCUGGUGUAGCGGUGGAAUGCGCAGAUAUCAGGAGGAACACCGGUGGCGAAGGCGGGUCUCUGGGCAGUAACUGACGCUGAGGAGCGAAAGCGUGGGGAGCGAACAGG